UACAGAGGGGGCGAGCGUUGUUCGGAAUUACUGGGCGUAAAGGGCGCGUAGGCGGCCUUCUAAGUCGAACGUGAAAUCCCCGGGCUCAACCCGGGAACUGCGUCCGAUACUGGGAGGCUUGAAUCCGGGAGAGGGAUGUGGAAUUCCAGGUGUAGCGGUGAAAUGCGUAGAUAUCUGGAGGAACACCGGUGGCGAAGGCAGCAUCCUGGACCGGUAUUGACGCUGAGGCGCGAAAGCCAGGGGAGCAAACGGG
rnacentral:rRNA from 1 species